UACGUAGGGGGCAAGCGUUAUCCGGAUUUACUGGGUGUAAAGGGGGCGCAGACGGCGAUGCAAGCCAGGAGUGAAAGCCCGGGGCCCAACCCCGGGACUGCUCUUGGAACUGCGUGGCUGGAGUGCAGGAGGGGCAGGCGGAAUUCCUGGUGUAGCGGUGAAAUGCGUAGAUAUCAGGAGGAACACCGGUGGCGAAGGCGGCCUGCUGGACUGCAACUGACGUUGAGGCCCGAAAGCGUGGGUAGCAAACAGG
rnacentral:rRNA from 1 species